UGGUUAAGCGACAAAGGGCGUACGGUGGAUGCCUGGGCGUCUGCUAGCGAUGAAGGACGUAGAAGGCUGCGAUAAGCCACGGGGAGCCGCCAAACAGGCCUUGAUCCGUGGAUUUCCGAAUGGGGAAACCCGGCUGACCAAAAGUCAGUCAUCCUCCACUGAACACAUAGGUGGAAGGAAGCGAACGCGGGGAACUGAAACAUCUAAGUACCCGCAGGAAGAGAAAUCAAUUGAGAUACCCCUAGUAGCGGCGAGCGAACGGGGUAGAGCCUAAACCGACUGUGUGUAAGGUUACAGCCGUUGCAUGGUCGGGGUUGUGGGGCUCUCUUUGCACUCUCUGUAAGGAGUGCGGCGAGUAAGAAACUGAAUCGAUAGUCGAAGACUUUGGAAAGGGUCACCGUAGAGGGUAAUGGUCCCGUAGACGAAAUCAAUUCAGCUCGCUUAGAGGGUUCCCGAGUACGGUGGGACACGAGAAAUCCUGCCGGAAUCUGGGUGGACCAUCAUCCAAGGCUAAAUAUACGCAGACGACCGAUAGUGAACCAGUACCGUAAGGGAAAGGUGAAAAGAACCCCUUUAAGGGGAGUGAAAUAGAACCUGAAACCGUAUGCCUACAAGCAGUGGGAGCCCUAUGGCCUUGGCCAGGGUGACCGCGUGCCUUUUGCAUAAUGAGUCAGCGAGUUAUGCUACGCAGCAAGGUUAAGUCGAUUAGACGCAGCCGCAGGGAAACCGAGUCUGAACAGGGCGAAUAUAGUUGCGUGGUGUAGACCCGAAACCGAGUGAGCUACCCAUGGCCAGGUUGAAGUUCCGGUAAAACGGGAUGAAGGACCGAACCCACUGAUGUUGAAAAAUCAGGGGAUGAGCUGUGGGUAGGGGUGAAAGGCCAAUCAAACUCGGAGAUAGCUGGUUCUCCCCGAAAUAUAUUUAGGUAUAGCCUCGGGAGAUAUCACUGACGGAGGUAGAGCACUGAAUGGGCUAGGGGCCUAACCCGGUUACCAACCCCAAUCAAACUCCGAAUGCCGUUAUGUGUUAUCCCGGGAGUCAGUCUGCGGGUGAUAAGGUCCGUAGACGAGAGGGAAACAACCCAGACCGCCAGCUAAGGUCCCAAAAUGACAGUUAAGUGGUAAAGGAUGUGGAAGCACACAGACAACCAGGAGGUUGGCUUAGAAGCAGCCACCCUUGAAAGAAAGCGUAAUAGCUCACUGGUCAAGUGAAUCUGCGCCGAAAAUACAACGGGGCUUAAACUGUCUACCGAAGCUGCGGAUUCUGCACUUAAGUGCAGAGUGGUAGGGGAGCAUUCCAAUCGCCGUUGAAGGUGCACCGCGAGGAGCGCUGGAGGUUUUGGAAGAGCGUAUGCUGACGUGAGUAACGACAAGACGGGUGAGAAUCCCGUCCGCCGAAAGCCUAAGGAUUCCUGGGCCAGGUUCAUCCUCCCAGGGUUAGUCGGGACCUAAGACGAGGCCGAGAGGCGUAGUCGAUGGAAAACAGGCAAACAUUCCUGUACCUCUUUGUAACAUGUUGAUGGUGAGGAAGGACGGAGAACGCUAGGUCCGCCGGACUGAUGGAUGUCCGGUACAACCCGGUAGGCGGGUCAGAUAGGAGGUGUUCGCACCACAAACGUCUGACUAUUUAAACGCUGAGAGGGAAAGUGGAGAGUCCCCCCAUUUGGGGACUCAAGUCAACGGAUCGAUGCGCGGCUUCCAAGAAAAGUUUCGCACCGGAGUGUAUAAAGAGCCCGUACCAAAACCGACACAGGUAGGCGAGAAGAGCAUUCUAAGGCGUUGAGAUAACCCUGGUUAAGGAACUCGGCAAAUUGACACCGUAACUUCGGGAGAAGGUGUGCCCCGUUAAAGUGAAGAGCCUUGCGCUCGGAGCUCGAAGGGGUUGCAGAGAAUAGGGGGUAGCGACUGUUUAUCAAAAACACAGGACUCUGCGAAAUCGUGAAGAUGACGUAUAGGGUCUGACGCCUGCCCGGUGCCGGAAGGUUAAGGGGAGUGGUUAGCUGUAAAGCGAAGCUGCGAACCGAAGCCCCGGUAAACGGCGGCCGUAACUAUAACGGUCCUAAGGUAGCGAAAUUCCUUGGCGGGUAAGUUCCGUCCUGCACGAAUGGCGUAACGACUUCCCCACUGUCUCAACCAGGGACUCAGUGAAAUCGAAUUAGCGGUGAAGAUGCCGUUUACCCGCGACAAGACGGAAAGACCCCGUGAACCUUUACUGCAACUUGGCAUUGGUACUCGGACGCAUCUGUGUAGGAUAGGUGGGAGACUAAGAAGUCGGUGCGCCAGCAUCGGUGGAGUCAACCUUGAAAUACCACCCUGGUGCGUCUGGGUAUCUAACCUGCAUCCCUUAUCGGGAUGAGGGACACUGUCUGGUGGGCAGUUUGACUGGGGCGGUCGCCUCCCAAAGUGUAACGGAGGCGCGCAAAGGUCCGCUCAGGCUGAUUGGAAACCAGCCGCAGAGUGCAAAAGCAUAAGCGGGCUUGACUGCGAGACAAACAGGUCGAGCAGGUGCGAAAGCAGGCUUUAGUGAUCCGGUGGUCCCGCAUGGAAGGGCCAUCGCUCAACGGAUAAAAGGUACUCCGGGGAUAACAGGCUUAUCUCCCCCAAGAGUUCACAUCGACGGGGAGGUUUGGCACCUCGAUGUCGGCUCAUCACAUCCUGGGGCUGGAGUAGGUCCCAAGGGUUUGGCUGUUCGCCAAUUAAAGUGGUACGCGAGCUGGGUUCAGAACGUCGUGAGACAGUUCGGUCCCUAUCUGUCGUGGGCGAAGGAGAAUUGAGAGGAACUGCCCCUAGUACGAGAGGACCGGGGUGGACGUACCGCUGGUAUACCGGUUGUGGCGCCAGCCGCAUCGCCGGGUAGCUACGUACGGACAGGAUAACCGCUGAAAGCAUCUAAGCGGGAAGCCCCCCUCAAGAUAAGUUCUCCCUUCAGGGUUAACCUGACUUAAGGUCCGUCGAAGACUACGACGUGGAUAGGCGAGAUGUGGAAGCACGGUAACGUGUGCAGCAGACUCGUACUAAUCGACCGGGAGGCUUAACCACUU
rnacentral:rRNA from 1 species